rnacentral:tRNA from 1 species
GACAUGGUAGCUCAGUGGUUAGAGCGCCCGCCUCAUGAACGGGAGGUCGUGGGUUCGAACCCCAGCCGAGUCA